rnacentral:lncRNA from 1 species
GUUUGGAGUAAGGUAAGGUAGUCACCGAGGUUUGACGGUGGGUUCGUAGUUUGACUAGCACCCAGUCAUCUAUAUGUUGUAAUGCACCUCAUGUCUAUGUUCAUCAGCAAAUAUCUUCACAUUUUCUUUGUAAAGUUGUAAUCAUGGUUUCACGCUGGACUUACAAAACAUCACCAACAUCAAUAGUGGAGGUACCUCCUAAGUAUUAAGGAAUGCUAGGAGUGAGCUUCCAAAAGUAAUUUCAAAUG